AUAAUGUUUUUACUUUUUAGCCUCGCCGCUUCCACUCUCUCACAAAUACCAGUCUCGACGCUACACACGUCUUUUCUCCGUUCUCAACACUACCAUCGUCUCUUCUCCAUGGCAUCCAAUAAUCUCCACCGCCACCGCGAUGAGAACGGCGCCGCCACCACCGCUAUGGCCACCGAUACCCCAAAUAGCCACAAUUCCUCCCCUUGCAAAAAACAUAAGCGCUUUGACAUUGAUAUCCGCUCAGAGUUCUCUCAUCACGACCCUGCCGUCGCCCGAAUUAACAACGGCAGUUUCGGUUCAUGCCCCUCCUCCGUCAUCGAAGCCCAACAACGUUACCAGCUACGUUUCCUUGAACAGCCCGACGACUUCUACUUCAACCAUCUCAAACCCUCCAUCCUCCGCUCCCGCGAAGCCAUCAAAACCCUCAUCAACGCCGAUCACGUCGACGAAAUCUCAAUAGUCGAUAACGCCACAACGGCCGCUGCAAUCGUACUCCAACAAGUCAAAUGGUCGUUCUUCGAAUCAAAAUUCAACCCUGGCGACACCGCCGUGAUGCUCCACUACGCCUACGGUGCCGUCAAAAAGUCCGUCGAGGCUUACGUAACGCGAGCAGGUGGCCAUGUCAUCGAGGUUAAAAUGCCCUUCCCCGUAGCUUCAAAUGACGAAAUAAUUACAGCAUUUAGAAACGCUUUAGAAUUAGGGAAAUCCAAUAAUCGUAAAGUUAGGUUAGCCGUAAUUGAUCACAUCACCUCCAUGCCAUCCGUUGUAAUUCCCGUCAAGGAAUUGGUAAAGAUGUGUAGAGAAGAAGGAGUUGACCGGAUUUUCGUUGAUGCUGCUCAUGCAAUUGGGUCAACUAGGGUUGAUGUCAAAGAAAUUGGGGCUGAUUUCUACACUAGCAAUCUCCAUAAAUGGUUAUUCUGUCCACCUUCAAUCGCAUUCUUGCACUGUAGAAACCCCGAGCUAUCUAAUCUCCACCACCCUGUGGUAUCUCAUGAAUACGGAAAUGGAUUAGCUAUAGAAAGUUCAUGGAUCGGGACAAGGGACUACAGUGCACAACUAGUUGUACCCGAGGCUUUAAAGUUUGUAAGUAGGUUUGAAGGUGGGCUUGAUGGAAUAAGAGAAUGGAAUCACCAAAAGGUUAUAGAAAUGGCAAACAUGCUUGCAAAAUCAUGGGGCACUCAUCUUGGUUCACCUCCUGAUAUGUGUUCAAGUAUGGCAAUGGUUGGAUUACCCACUUGUUUGGAGAUUAUGAGUGAUUCUGAUGGAUUAAAAUUAAGGUCUCAUUUAAGGGAGUCUUUUAAGGUUGAAGUUCCAAUAUAUUAUAGGCAACCAGAGGUUGGGGAGGUCAAUCCGAUAACUGGGUAUGCUAGAAUUUCUCAUCAAAUUUACAACAUUGUUGAUGAUUACUACAGAUUCAGGGAUGCCAUUAACAAUCUUGUGAAUUCUGGGUUCACAUGUAAAGUUUUUCAAGAUUAAAAGAGGCAAUGUACACUGAAAAAUCUACCAAAUUAUAUAAUUUAUCGCAAUGAAGGUUCAUUUGCAUACGUUUUUAUUGGAUGUAAUAUUGCUACUAAGGGUGACAAUAAUGCUUCUGUUGCAGUAUCAGAGUAAAGAGAAAAAUAUGUGUACAAAUCUUGUAGCAAGCGGUGUCUCUGGAUAAAUGCUGCUGGUUGGAUUUUCAACCAAGUUUGAAUUCAUUUUAAAAAGGAAACGUUGUAUUUGUGUUGGAUAACCCUUAAACUAAACUAAGUGUUCGUGUUCACUUUUUGGAUUAAGAAUAGCACUAAUAUCUGACAAAAUUUGCAAUUUUCAUUCCAAAUAACCAUAUGUUACAGCAAAUUAUGCCAAAUUAAUUUAAAUUUUUAAUGGGGGUCAUAAAAAUCAUAAGCCUAUUUAAAUAGUACAGUGAAAAUCAUAAGAUCGACCCCAAUGUUACUUAAAUUUAACAAAUAAUAUAGAAAAAAUUAUAUAAAUGGUCCGUGUGGUUUACCAAAGAUAACAAACUUAAUCCUUGCUAAUUUUAGUUAGUAAGGACUGAGUUUGUAACCAUGGGUAAUUAUACCAUUUAUGUAAUUUUUUUUAUAUAUUUUAUGUUUAUGAGUUUGUGGCUUUUCUAACUUUUUAUUUAUUAAAAUGUCAUUUUGAUCUUUUCAAAAAACUUUGUAAAAUGUUAUUUUUACCCACAAUUUCUACACUUUUAUUUAAAAAUGUUAUUUUUACCCAUUUAUGCAAUUAUUUUUAAAAAUAUUGCAAAUAAUCUUUUUUAAAUAAUGAAAGAGUAGAUCAUCUCAACUCAUUCAACCAAUUGUCACGUUAGUUCCACAUAAGUUUUUUCUACCUCUUUUUUUCCAUUCUUUUGAACCCAAAAUAUAUGAAAAUAGUAUCUUUCCCAACCUACUUGUUACUACAUGAUUUUUAAUUUAAUUAAAUUAGAAAAUGUAAAAUUAAAUAAAACAUAAUAUUUUUACGUAAAAAAAGGUGAUAUAUAUAUAUAUAUAUAUAUAUAUAUAUAUAUAUAUAUAUAUAUGACAAAAAUGCAAGAAUGGAAUCUGUGGUAUGUCGAGAAUUACUAUUUUGGGCCAAACAGGUUUGAACUAGUACAAAUGGUCCAAAAGUUUCCAUUUUGUUGCGAUUUUGGUCCAUUUUGGGUUUAUUUUUUAUAAAAUGAUGAUUUUACCCUUUGUAUUUUCUAUUUUUCUAUUUUUUAUUAUAGAAAUUAAAAAAAAGAAAAAAAAGAUGGAAAUGAAAAUACUCUCUCUCUCUCUCAAAUCAAAGAAACCAAAAUAUCUCCAUUUUUAGUUUUCUUAAUUUUCACAGCAAAUUCUUGAUUGUUCUUCCCUUUCUAUUUCUUCUUUGUUUCUUGUCACUUCAGAUCUGUAAAACACAACCAUAUUUUUGUUUUUUUUUUUUAAUUAUUUUCUUUCUAGAUUUUGUUUGUUUUAAUUGGAAAAUAUGUGUGAAUAAGAGUUCAUCUAGAACCUCGUCAUCUUCUAGUUCAAGCACAAGCUAUUGCGAUCAUCUUCUUUAACUGGGCAGAGCUUGAGACCCCCGACGAACCCACUGUCGUAUAGAGACGAAGACUAAGUGGAAUCUAAAGAAAGAAUCAGUUGAUUCCCCUCUUUGAUCUCCUGAUUUUGAUACAAAGUUUCAUCGUUAUCCCAGCUACCAAAACUUCCAUGAACUUCCUUCACCAAGUUCAUCGAGUUACGUCACCAUCGCUCUCAACAACAGAUGGCGACGACCAGCUGGUCGUUGCUGAAUCUUCAAACCCAAACAUUGUCGCCCUUUUAUCGUCAUUAACGAACAUAUCUGGUGGUACAAGCGAAGUCGUUGUCGUUGACGAACAGAUCUAGCAGGGGGUCGAAGGUGGCGGCUGCUAGGGUUUAGACUUGUUCCCCCUUGUCGUCCUUCUCGGUUAAGAUCUAGUCUCCUGAGAAGGUGAUAUGAAUAUGGUGGUGGUGGUGGUCAAAAAUCGAUGUUGAAGGGGAGAAACCAAGGUGGCGGCAGAUAGGGUUUGCCGAGGAAGAUGGCGACGAGAUGGAUCUGAACUCCGACGAAGGAUUUUUAAGCCUUCCUUCGCCUUUCUAAACCUGUUUUUAAGGUCGUGGUGGUCGUGGCGUUCUAAUUCUAUGUCAUCUUCACCAAAUCAUUGGUCUUGUUCGAGUUUGUGUGUGUGUGUUUAAUCUAUGUAUGUGUGUGUGUUUGUGUUGAAUAUGUUGAAAAGUUGAUGGAUGUUUGUGUUGAUCAGUGUGUGUUCAUAAGAUUUCAUGUGUCUGUGUUUAUCUGAUUUUUCAUGCGUGUUCAUCAGAUGUUUGUAUUGAUAUGUGUGUUCAUCAAAUUUCACGUGUGUGUUCAUCUAA